rnacentral:rRNA from 1 species
UACGUAGGGGGCUAGCGUUGUCCGGAAUCAUUGGGCGUAAAGCGCGUGUAGGCGGCCCGGUAAGUCCGCUGUGAAAGUCGGGGGCUCAACCCUCGGAUGCCGGUGGAUACUGUCGGGCUAGAGUGCGGAAGAGGCGAGUGGAAUUCCUGGUGUAGCGGUGAAAUGCGCAGAUAUUAGGAGGAACACCAAUUGCGAAGGCAGCUCGCUGGGACGUGACUGACGCUGAGACGCGAAAGCGUGGGGAGCAAACAGG